UACAGAGGGUGCGAGCGUUAAUCGGAAUUACUGGGCGUAAAGCGUGCGCAGGCGGUUAUGCAAGACAGACGUGAAAUCCCCGGGCUCAACCUGGGAACUGCAUUUGUGACUGCAUGGCUAGAGUACGGUAGAGGGGGAUGGAAUUCCGCGUGUAGCAGUGAAAUGCGUAGAUAUGCGGAGGAACACCGAUGGCGAAGGCAAUCCCCUGGACCUGUACUGACGCUCAUGCACGAAAGCGUGGGGAGCAAACAGG
rnacentral:rRNA from 1 species